UGUUCAGCUGUCACCUUUGGCAAUCUAUAUCCAAACACCGGAAGUCAGUAUUCACUUUUCCCGCCCUGUCGCCAUGUUGUCUGACGUCAUCGUGAAAAGGGUCUGUUGCGCAAUUUAUGCGUAGAUCACAUAGUGUGGAGUGUUACGGCCCUGAGCCGGAUUUCUGUCUGUUUGUCUGGCCUGUGUCUCCUCCUCUCACACAGGUGCAGCAGUUUGGGGAUGUGGAAGCUCCAGGUAAAACUGAGGCUCAGGGGGGAGGGACUUCGGCUGGCACUUCCUGUCCGGUUCAACGUCACUGCUGUACCGCGGAACUCACGGCGUGCUUUGCUCUCCACCUUUGAGUCUUUUGAACACAUUAAAGUUGUUCAGUAUAAAACCGAUUUCGUCUCCCCGCUUCUUUGUUGCGGCCUAGAGCCAGGCGUAACAGGAGUUUGGGUGUAGUUGUGUUUUCGGUUUUGUUACUUUUUGUUUUCACCUUCCUCUCAUUUCAGGGGUGUUGAUUUCUUCCUUUUUCCUACCUGGUUCUCCUGCCCUCUUAAUGGGUGUAGCCGUGCUUGAUUAUCUUGUUUUCUGUUAGAAGCUGCGUGUCCCUUCCACUAGUCGACCGGAUCGUCUUGUGUGCCUUCUUGAGUGCUGUAAGCUUUCUAGCCUUUUUUUAAUUUUUGUCUUAGCCAAAAAGAAUAAACAACAACCUUUGGAACCUCUUGCAUUCUGAGUUUGUGUCCACACCCAGAUCCUGACAUAUAGUGUCUAUGCAAUUAUUGCGUAAAUUGCGCAUGAUUUUUGUGAGCUGCAUACACAUAUUUGUGGCUUUACAUGAACGUUGUACAUAUGUCUGCGUAACAAAUCUAACUGCUGCAUUCUGAACCAGCUGCAGCCUCGACACUGAAGCUAUAGGCAACCCAGCAUGUAAGGAGCUGCAAUAAUUAGCUUGCACAAAAUCAAGUUAUGCAUAAAAAUUUCAGGGUUUGACAGAAAAGACUUGAUCCUAGCCAACUGUUGCAGCUGGAAAAAACUAAUCUGGCUAAUUAUUUGGAGGUCCAUUUUCAAGGGAGCAUCAAGUCUCACUCCGAGAUCUGUGACUAUGACUGCUCAAACGGGUAAGAGAGAGGAGGUCAAGACCAUGAUCCUGACAAAAACACUAUUAUCUCAGUCUCACCUUCAGUCUGAAGUCAGUAAGGCACACAGUUAUUGUUUUGAUCGUGUGGUCAGAUCCUUUGGAAGGACAUAAAUUACAUUCAGGUUAUGAACAUAUCUGCAAAUUUCCUUAAGAUUUUCAUAUGAUUUUUUUUUUUGUGUGUACAAGUUUUUAUUUUUUAGAAUUAUUAUCUUUAAAACAAUUAUGUUUCUUGCAUUCUUAUUGUGCAGUCAGAUGUAAAUAAUCCAGAAACUCUCAUUUGAUAGAGCAGGGAAUCUUAAAUGUUCGCUGUUUGGACUUAGUGAUUCUGUUGUUUAACUUAAAUGUGAGCCAUCUACUUUAUUUCCUGUCUUUAGUUCACCUGGAAGUCCAUCUACUUUUAGACAGAGUGACCUGAGCUACAGAUGAACCACGAUUCCCCUGUGGUUCAUCUUCUAAACUUCUUCAUCAGAGAUGAGCUCGUUGAAAGCAGAGCAUCUUCAGGAAAGAUCUCUCGUCCAGAAUGUCCCCUAAUCAAGCAGCCGCGUGGUGAAGUCCGGCUGCAGUCUGGAUCCACGCUGCAUCACUGUCACCACCGAAGAUCAAACGGCAGAUCGCAGGAGAAGCUUAGAGACUCAACGUUCCACCAGACUCAACCUUUUGAAAAUGAUGGCAAAAUAAUCUCCAUGUUGGAAACAGUUUUUAUGUACCUCCAUUUAUUUGUAUUUGUUGAAAAUGUUUUAAUACAUCAUAAAAGCAAUCCAGUAAGAAAAAAAGACCAACAUUAAAUGAAGUCCUCAUAUGAAAUAAAUAAUCAUC